UACAGAGGUCUCAAGCGUUGUUCGGAUUCAUUGGGCGUAAAGGGUGCGUAGGUGGCGUCGUAAGUCAGGUGUGAAAUUUCGGAGCUUAACUCCGAAACUGCAUUUGAUACUGCGGUGCUUGAGGACUGGAGAGGAGACUGGAAUUUACGGUGUAGCAGUGAAAUGCGUAGAGAUCGUAAGGAAGACCAGUGGCGAAGGCGGGUCUCUGGACAGUUCCUGACACUGAGGCACGAAGGCCCAGGGGGAGCAAACGGG
rnacentral:rRNA from 1 species